AAAAAAUAAUAAUAACUAGAUUUGCGAUUGCAAGCAAUAGCGGAUGGCACCCUUCCCCUAUUGCCAGGUGAGCGGCAGCCAUUUUGAAAGUUCCGAUGUCAAAGACCGCAUUUACAGAUGUCUAUUCACAUUGUCGUAAAGUUUCAUCAAUUUUGGAGCAUUUUGAAAUUUUUGAAAUUUCCAUGGUAACGGCGGCCAUUUUGGAAAUUCCAAAUUCAAAAGUCAAGUCUACAUUAGCUAAGCAACAUUUGUUAUAAGUUUCAAUAAAUUUGAAGCAUUUUGAAGUUUUUCGUAUUUUUGCUGUUUCCAUGGUAACGGCGGCCAUUUUGAAUAUUCCAAAGUCAAACCUGCUGCUGCAAUUUGUUCUCACCAUAAUCAUAUAUACCAUCAUAUACCAUUUAAUGUCUCUAGAAUAAAUUUAACAUUGAUGUUCUGGAAUGUUCUGUGAAAAUUCAAAGUUUUGACCUUUUUGCAUUGUUUCCAUGGUAACAACAGAUAUUUUGGAAAUUCCAACGCCAAAUUCCACAUCUUCCAAUGUUGCUCAUCGUUACUGUGAAGUUUCAUUAAGUUUGGAACAUUUUGAUAUUUUUGAAAUUUUUGGAGUAGUUUCCAUGGCAACAUAGUAGUUCCAAUGAGUGCCAAAAUCAUCCAACACCUGUAUAUAGUGGGCACCUACAUUGUAUUAAAAUAUAAUGAUUCUGAGUUAAAGCAUAUCCAAACAGUUCACCAAAACAAAAAACUGGAUUUUUUCACAUUUGUUCCGUUUCCAUGGUAACGGCAGCCAUCUUGAAAGUGCCAACCCCAAAAAGCAAAUCUUCACAUGGUGGUUAACAUUAUGGUAUAGUUCCAUCUUCUUGGGUCCAUUCACAUUAGAGUUCCAGACUGGACAAAAAUGUGUGGAAGAAAAAUAAUAAUAAAAAUAAAGAAAACAAAAAGAAACGUAGAAUAACAAUAUGUCACCCCAACUCCGUUGAGGGUGCCAUAAUAAUAAUAGAGAAAAAGAAACAGAGGAAAAGCAAUAUGUCACCCGACAUUGUCGAUCGGGUGACAUAACUAGAUUUGCCAUUGCAAGCAAUAGCGGAUGGCACCCUUUCCCUAUUGCCAGGUCAGCG
rnacentral:lncRNA from 1 species